UAGAUCAAGUAACAAAUAAUAACUUGACAUUAUACCCAUAUCCAAAUCAAUUUAUUGGUACAGUUCGACAAUCUGUUUUAUUACAAGCUAAAGAUCAAGAUUUGGUUAUAAACAAUCCAAUAAGAUACUUUAUUCAAGAAACUAUUCCACCAAACUUUGAAAACUAUUUUACUGUAACUACAACAAGCCCUGUAAGCGGUUCUGAUUUAUACACGGGUGUUAUUACUCAAAUUAGAACUGUUAACCCCACAAACACAGAGUUAAAAAUAGUAGUAAGGGCUGAGGAAGAAUCCGUAAGAAGAAGAUUUGCUCGAGCUGUGGUAACUAUAACUAUCCGAGGAAUAAAUGAAAAUAUUCCAACCUUUACUACAUCCCUACCUGGUGGGAGUUUGAUUGGUUAUAUAAAAGAAAACUCACCUGGAGGUACAGCUGUCUCAGAUAGUAGCCAAUCAACAUUUUUCAGGAUUAUUGCAACAGAUACAGACAAGAGAAUCGGGGAUAAUCCAACUCAGUUCUUCUACCAGUCAGAUUCCAGUUUCUUUACUGUUACAAAUGAUGGGUUUGUGGUGGCAAGAAGUGCAAAUUUAGAUUUUGAGAAUGUUCAACAGCAUAUCG